AUAAAAAACUCAGGAGAGUCUCUUCAAAUCAAAAGGGAAGAGCGCCGAAGGUGUACGCAGCACACAAAAUGCUGUAAAUCUCUCAGGCAAAAGGAUGGAGGAAAGAGU
rfam:Ruminococcus sp. SR1/5 draft genome.